rnacentral:tRNA from 1 species
AGGGUAUUAGUUAAAAAAUAACAUUUAUUUUGCAAAUAAAAAUUAUUUUAUCUAAAAUUAUACCUUUAAUAUGAAAGGA